rnacentral:rRNA from 1 species
AUUGAACGCUGGCGGCAUGCCUUACACAUGCAAGUCGAACGGUAACAGGUCUUCGGAUGCUGACGAGUGGCGAACGGGUGAGUAAUACAUCGGAACGUGCCCGAUCGUGGGGGAUAACGAGGCGAAAGCUUUGCUAAUACCGCAUACGAUCUACGGAUGAAAGCGGGGGAUCUUCGGACCUCGCGCGGACGGAGCGGCCGAUGGCAGAUUAGGUAGUUGGUGGGAUAAAAGCUUACCAAGCCGACGAUCUGUAGCUGGUCUGAGAGGAUGAUCGGCCACACUGGGACUGAGACACGGCCCAGACUCCUACGGGAGGCAGCAGUGGGGAAUUUUGGACAAUGGGCGAAAGCCUGAUCCAGCCAUGCCGCGUGCAGGAUGAAGGCCUUCGGGUUGUAAACUGCUUUUGUACGGAACGAAAAGCCUCUUUCUAAUAAAGAGGGGUCAUGACGGUACCGUAAGAAUAAGCACCGGCUAACUACGUG